rnacentral:rRNA from 1 species
GACGAACGCUGGCGGCGUGCUUAACACAUGCAAGUCGAACGGAAAGGCCCUGCUUUUGUGGGGUGCUCGAGUGGCGAACGGGUGAGUAACACGUGAGUAACCUGCCCUUGACUUUGGGAUAACUUCAGGAAACUGGGGCUAAUACCGGAUAGGUGCUCCUGCUGCAUGGUGGGGGUUGGAAAGUUUCGGCGGUUGGGGAUGGACUCGCGGCUCAUCAGCUUGUUGGUGGGGUAGUGGCUUACCAAGGCUUUGACGGGUAGCCGGCCUGGGAGGGUGACCGGCACAUUGGGACUGAGAUACGGCCCAGACUCCUACGGGAGGCAGCAGUGGGGAAUAUUGCACAAUGGGCGGAAGCCUGAUGCAGCAACGCCGCGUGCGGGAUGACGGCCUUCGGGUUGUAAACCGCUUUCGCCUGUGACGAAGCGUGAGUGACGGUAAUGGGUAAAGAAGCACCGGCUAACUACGUG